ensembl:snoRNA
AAAGCAGGUUGCAAUUACAGUGCUUCCUUUUGUGGACGUACUGACAUUAUCCUGCUGAAAGAAAAUCUGUGUCAGUCCUGUUUGAUUUUGCCUUCAUGAGGGUAAAGUCGUGACCGAGUGACACGGACAAUU